rnacentral:tRNA from 1 species
GGAGUUGUAGCUCAGCAGUAGAGUGCUUGCCUUGUACCUAUGAGGCACUGGGUUCGAUUCCCAGCACCA